rnacentral:rRNA from 1 species
CCUGAGGGUAUGAUGAGAUUGCAUGAUAGCAUCAUUAAAGAUUUAUCGGUGUACGAUGGGGAUGCGUUCCAUUAGGUAGUAGGCGGGGUAACGGCCCACCUAGCCAACGAUGGAUAGGGGUUCUGAGAGGAAGGUCCCCCACAUUGGAACUGAGACACGGUCCAAACUCCUACGGGAGGCAGCAGUGAGGAAUAUUGGUCAAUGGACGAGAGUCUGAACCAGCCAAGUAGCGUGAAGGAUGAAGGUCCUACGGAUUGUAAACUUCUUUUAUAAGGGAAUAAACCCUCCCACGUGUGGGAGCUUGUAUGUACCUUAUGAAUAAGCAUCGGCUAACUCCGUGCCAGCAGCCGCGGUAAUACGGAGGAUGCGAGCGUUAUCCGGAUUUAUUGGGUUUAAAGGGAGCGCAGACGGGUCGUUAAGUCAGCUGUGAAAGUUUGGGGCUCAACCUUAAAAUUGCAGUUGAUACUGGCGUCCUUGAGUGCGGUUGAGGUGUGCGGAAUUCGUGGUGUAGCGGUGAAAUGCUUAGAUAUCACGAAGAACUCCGAUUGCGAAGGCAGCACACUAAUCCGUAA